CCACCAUUGAGAACGCCAGGAUUGUCCUGCAGAUCAACAAUGCUCAACUGGCUGCAGAUGACUUCUGAACCAAGUUUGGUUUGAGUGUUUGGGUGCUGGAUGAGGUGACCCUGGCCAGGACUGAUCUGGAGGCACAGAUCAAAGGCCUGAAGGAAGAGCUGGCCUACCUGAAGAAGAAGCAUGAGGAGGAAAUCAAUGCCCUGAGGGGCCAAGUGGGAGACCAGGUCCAUGUGAGGGUGGAUUCAGCUCGGACCUGCCAAGAUCCUGAGUGACAGGCAAAGCCAAUAUGAGAUCAUGGCCAAGCAGAACUGGAAGGAUGCUGAAGCCUGGUUCACCAGCUGGACUGAGGAACUGAACCAGGAGGUCACUGGCCACAUAGAGCAGCUCCAGAUAAGCAGGUCUGAGGUCACUGACCUGCAGUGCACCCUCCAGGGUCUUGAGAUUGAGCUGCACUCGCAGCUCAGCGUGAAAGCUCCCUUAGAAGGCACACUGGCAGAAACAGAGGCAUGCUUUGGAGCCCAGCUGGUGCAGAUCCAGGCACUGAUCAGCAGUAUUGAAGCCCAGCUGGGCGAUGU